rnacentral:rRNA from 1 species
AUACGUAGGGGACGAGCGUUGUCCGGAAUUACUGGGCGUAAAGGGCGCGCAGGCGGAUAUUUAAGUCAGCUGUAAAAGGCAUGAGCUCAACUCAUGUAUGCGGUUGAAACUGGGUAUCUAGAGUGCUGGAGAGGUAGGCGGAAUUCCCGGAGUAGCGGUGAAAUGCGUAGAUAUCGGGAAGAACACCAGUUGAGAAGGCGGCUUACUGGCCAGCAACUGACGCUGAGGCGCGAAAGCCAGGGGAGCGAACGGGAUUAGAUACCCCGGUAGUCCUGGCCGUAAACGAUGAAUGCUAGGUGUGGGUGUCGAGAGGCAUCCGUGCCGGAGUUAACGCGAUAAGCAUUCCGCCUGGGGAGUACGAUCGCAAGAUUGAAACUCAAAUGAAUUGGCGGGG